GGGCCCGGGCACUAUCCCUAAGCUUCUUUUGCUCAAGGCUAGCACUCUACCACUUAAGCCACAGUGCCACUUCCAGCUUUUUCUGGCAUGUGGUACUGAGGAAUUGAAACCAGGUUGUUUGAAGGAUAUAGAGCCAGAAAUGCAGAGGGGUAGCUAGAAUCAGAUUUAUAUCUUCACACCAUUAUGAUAGCAUGAUACCUUUGGGGAGACGACGACUGGGGUUUGAACUCAAGGCCUUGUACUUGCUAGCCAGGUGCUCUCUCACUUGAGCUGCACUCCCCGCUCCUUUUUUUCCUUUUGUGUAUAAGAUCUUGCUGUGUGCAGUCCUGGUCUAUAACUAACUGUCCUCCUGCCUCAGCCUCCUAAGUGUUCGGAUUAUAGGUAUGAGAUAUGCCUGGCUUGCAUGUUACAUUUUAACCAAAGUUUGGAUGUCCAACUUUUUAUAGAAAUGACUUCAAAUGCCAUAUGAAUCAAAAUGACAUAACGCUGUGUCAGCUGUAACCGUUAAUGGUUAUAACAAUGGUUAAGAGUCAGUCUAUUGGGCUGGGAAUAUGGCCUAGUGGUAAAGUACUCACCUCAUAUACAUGAAGCC